rnacentral:rRNA from 1 species
UACGUAGGGUGCGAGCGUUAAUCGGAAUUACUGGGCGUAAAGCGCGUGUAGGCUGCUUGGAAAGUCGGAUGUGAAAGCCCUGGGCUCAACCUAGGAAGUGCAUUCGAAACUUCCAAGCUGGAGUGCUGGAGAGGAAGGCGGAAUUCUCGGUGUAGAGGUGAAAUUCGUAGAUAUCGAGAGGAACACCGGUGGCGAAGGCGGCCUUCUGGACAGCUACUGACGCUGAGACGCGAAAGCGUGGGGAGCAAACAGG